rnacentral:rRNA from 1 species
GGCUCAGGAUGAACGCUAGCGGCAGGCUUAACACAUGCAAGUCGAGGGGCAGCGCGGUGUAGCAAUACAUUGGCGGCGACCGGCGCACGGGUGCGUAACGCGUAUACAAUUUGCCUUAUACUGGGAGAUAGCCCGGAGAAAUUCGGAUUAAUAUCCCAUAAUAUUGUUGUCUCGCAUGAGAUGGCUCUUAAAGCUACGGCGGUAUAAGAUGAGUAUGCGUCUGAUUAGCUAGUUGGUAAGGUAACGGCUUACCAAGGCGACGAUCAGUAGGGGGCCUGAGAGGGUUAUCCCCCACACUGGAACUGAGACACGGUCCGGACUCCUACGGGAGGCAGCAGUGAGGAAUAUUGGUCAAUGGAGGCAACUCUGAACCAGCCAUGCCGCGUGUAGGAAGAAGGCCCUAUGGGUUGUAAACUACUUUUAUUGGGGAAGAAACCCUCUUACGUGUAAGAGGCUGACGGUACCCAAGGAAUAAGGACCGGCUAACUCCGUGCCAGCAGCCGCGGUAAUACGGAGGGUCCAAGCGUUAUCCGGAAUCAUUGGGUUUAAAGGGUGCGCAGGCGGUAAAGUAAGUCAGUGGUGAAAUCUCUCGGCUCAACCGAGAAACUGCCAUUGAUACUGCUAUACUUGAAUAUAGUUGAAGUAGGCGGAAUGUGUAGUGUAGCGGUGAAAUGCUUAGAUAUUACACAGAACACCGAUAGCGAAGGCAGCUUACUAAACUAAUAUUGACGCUCAUGCACGAAAGCGUGGGGAGCGAACAGGAUUAGAUACCCUGGUAGUCCACGCCGUAAACUAUGAUUACUCGUUCUCGGCGAUAUACGGUCGGGGACUAAGCGAAAGUGAUAAGUAAUCGACCCUGGG